CAGGCCCAGCCCCGGCCCGGCCCGGCCUCUGCGGCCGCUGCGAAGGGUCCGUGCGGGGAAAGGCUGGUCUGCAGAGCCGUCCCGGGCUCUCCGCGCAGCUCGCUCAGGGCUCCUUACAGCUGGCCGCCGCCUCUCCACUGGCUCUCAGGUUGUGUUUUCCUUCUCAAAAGAUCACAGCCUGCUCAUUCUUUCCAUGGCUCAUGAAGGUGACAAGGUGGGACAACUGAAGGAACACAUUUGUGAAGUCACCUCCUCGAAGCCGUAACAGACGCCAGUGAUAAAUCCAGGAACAGAAGCUAAGUCUCCCAAGUUGAGGCCUAACACCAUCAACAAGCCAAUGAUGAACCCCCAAAGCAUGGCUGUAAUGUUGUUUGAAACAAAAAUAGAACUCUCUUGGUGUCAUUCUUUUCAGUGAUCACUGGGAGUCUGAGCUUGAAUGAAGGUGGAAGAAAAUUCCUACAGAGAAUUGGGAGUGGUUUGUCUCUUAAGAAGAGUAAUGGCGUUUUUAAUGCUUUCACCAAUACCAGGACUGUGAUAAAAGUUUAUGGAUUGAGAAUUAAUUGAAGAUUGUGAAAUGGGAAAGAAUGCACAUUAUGGGCCUUGGAGAGCUACGACCUAAGCUCCUAGAAUAUCACUGGAGUUGAUGGAAACAUCUCCGAUGACUGGGGUUUUUUUUAAUAUAAUUUGCCAGCCCCUGUAGCCCUCCCCAGACAGACUGGGGAAAUACAUUCCUUUUAUAAUAUUAGUCCAGGGGACUCAAGUAUAUUUCAGGUAUGAAUGAUAUAGUUGAUGGAAUUUGCUACAGAAUUCAAACAAAAAAAAAAAGACAGUGGAAAUUUGUACCUGUGUGUUGGUAUAUGUUUUAAAAAUGUUUUUCUGCAGAUAAUGGGCUUAUAUCUAAACUUUGUUAUUUGCAAUAUAAAGAUUUACAGUUUUAUAUGUAUAAAUAAUACAUCUCUAUGAUAAAACAUGAAUGUUAAUUAAAACAAUGACUAUAAGUAUGUAACUAUGUAAAUAUUGCCUAAAUCCUGUGUGUAAACGUUACAUAAACUGUUUCAUUUCUAGGGGUCACUGAAAACACUUUAAAAUUUUUACAGUUUUCUACACUUCCCCCUCCCUAGUUUUUAAUAUAAUUGCAGGUUUAAAGUUAAUCUGUCUAUUAGUUUUUUGAUAUUUACCGUUGUGUUAAAUUUUACUGAGGAACAAUUUAGUUUGGGGAAACCAUUGAAUCUGUGGUUUAUGUUGUUUGAACAAGAAGUCCCUGAGUAUUUGUCCCAAAUACCAACAUUUUUACUACACUGGCACCUGUAUAUUUGUGGUCACCUGAUGGCAACAUAUGCAAAGACUGUAUACAGUGGCAGUGCCUCUUCCAGAGAAUACUAGGAGGGAAACUGGAUGUGCCGAUGCACACAUAUUUGCUCUUCUAGGUGGAGGUAUCAUGUAGACAGCACUUAAAUGACACUUUUUAUUUCUGGAUAAGAUGAAGGUAAAAGAUAGAAACCAUUUGAAAGCCAUUGCUUAUGUCCCCUGAAACAGACUGAAAAGAAUAGCUCCUCUGAGGCACAAUUUUAAACUGAACAUAUACAGAGAUGUGUCAUUAGUAAUUCUGAAAAUGUGUUUACAGUGACUAGAUAAAAUAUUUAGCCACCAUUUAAAUAUUUAGUUCAUACACAAAUUUUAGGUGCCUACUACACUUAACAUUUCCAAUAACUGGUUUCAUUAGAAUUUUUAGUGAUACAAAUUAAUAACAAAAGGCAGUAAUACAGAGUGCUGUUAUGAGGCCAAAAUACAUGUGGUUUAAAUUUGAAGAAUUAAAUGUUAGCAUUUCCCUAUAGAGAAAGGUUAUUUGGGCAGUGGUGUACUGACAUUAUCACCACCCACAGAGAAGGAGACCUGUUAAUCCUAUUGGUUAAGCAGAAAUGCAAAAAAGGAAAAAUGUAGGUCUAGAGGGUUUACUUGGUGUAAGUGAAUCACACAGGAGAAAUGCUGAUACCCAAAAUUGUCACAGUCACUUUCUUAGAUGGUUAGAAAAAGAAAUAAGCACAGGAUAUUUUUGUCAAGUUACAGGGUUUAGAUUGCUUGCUAGGUAAAAUCAGUCCUGGUUAUUAAUGUAGUGGAAAGUUAAAUGAUGAUCAUGGAAAUAUGAUAAGUGCUGUCUGAUAAUCAGACAGAAAUGAUUUUCUGAGUCCAUUAAGAAUAAUCCAAGGUGGUAACCAUUCAGCUGAAGGGCUGCCUAAGAAACAAAUGUGAAAGUGAAUAAAAUAAAGGAAAGUUUCCUUCAGAAAGGUGUUUCUGGACACUACCAUGCUGCUUCUGGCAACUCAUCUUUGAUAAGAUACAGGUAAGCAACAGCAUUCAUUCAGCAGAAAAUAGUGCUAUCUGUAUCUGUGGAUUUUGUUUAAACAAUCAUUAAUAAUAAUCUUAUGGGAUCUAGCUAGAAACAAAUCUAUUAAAAAUAACAGUUACUAAUUUGCUACUAUUAACAUUAGUUAGUCUGACAGCUCUGGGAUAGCUUCGUCUAUUAUUCCUGGAAGAAAACUACAUAAAAUUGGUGGUUAAGUAGUUUCAUACAGACAUGGUACUGCACAGAAAAGCUAGAUAUCAAAUAUCACUACAUGUAGGAAGAUCUUGUCGCUGGCCCUCAGUCUGAUGGUUUUGAACAUGGGCUGAGCUACCCCAGGCUACCAGUACUCUGCUCUUUGGCUUUGAAACUUCCGUGUGAGAUAUAGUUUCAACAUGAAACUUCGAAAUACAGUGGUUGACAUCAGUUUUGGUUUGUUUGAAGCUAAAACUCAAAGCAAAACUCCUGGAGUGAUAGAACUGUAUGCAGCAAAAUAUAAGAAAAUUAACACAAAACUUCUGCUAACUGAGCAAACUAGUUUCACUCAGCUCUUGAAAUAACCCUUUCUGCAGAUUCACUUUCAAUUGCCACAUGUGUGAGAUGUCAAAAAAUGAGUUGGUUUCACAACCCCGUGGCACAGAUGAAUGUCACAGCUCUAAGGCUCACUCUCUGUUCUUGUCUUCAUUCUCUGUCUUGGUUGAUACUUAAGACAUCUGCAAGAGAUGAAAUUUUCUCAGCCCCAGGUUAGUUACGUUCAUUUGUAAAACAAGAGAUUUGAGGUAAGACCCGAAUUCCAGUCUGUAUGUUUUUAUAGUUGUAUCCAGCACUGAGAACUCAUUUCCCAAAUCUGUGACAAUGCUCUACAUGGCUCUGAGUCCCAAAAUGACAGGAGCCACUUCAUCACUGGAGGUCAUUCAAGGAUCAUGUGUUUUAAGUCAAAACCUGGUAUUCAGAGAUGCUGAACACCUGCUACUCUUCCUACCUAGUACGGGAGCUGCAGGAGCUCAUGCCCCUGUGAAGAUCAGACCCCUCAUCCCAAUGUGCUCUUAUUCACAGUGGGGUAAUGAACAGUCUUCUGCUCUGCUUUCAGUUUUUGUAAAAUUUUAGUGUAACAGGCUUGAAACAAAGUGAUGAACUGCAGUGAGAUUGUCAUGACGGCAUCUGGGAUUAAGUUUUUUUUUUGGUAGCUGAUACAGUGCUGUGUUUUGGAUUUAGUAUGAGAAUAAUGUUGAUAGCUCACUGAUGUUUUAGUUGUUGCUAAGAAAUGCUUACUCUGAAUCAAAGACUUUUCACUGUCUCCUGCUCUACCAGUGAGUAGGUGCACAAGAAGCUGUGAGGGAGCAUAGCCAGGACAGGUGACUCAAACUGGCCAAAGUGAUAUUUCAUACCAUAAUAUCAAAUAAUCAGUGAUCUGGUGCAUAUGUAUUUUGGUUAUUCACAUGUUAACAUUUCAUGGUGAACUGAUAACUAGAAACGUGCAAGGGGAAUGGUUGUAGUUCUAAGGGUAUCUUGAACUACAGCCCAUAGGCUGAUUCACGCAAGUUACACGAGAAUUAUUGUGAGUGGAAUUUACAAUAUAAUGGCUCACCUUUGCACAAGAAUGAAUUUUGUAUCGUGUGAGUAUAUGUUACGAAGAAAAAAAAAACACUGGGCUGUUGGUGGGACACAAAUAUUAUGUGACUCUGAAUCUCACUUGGUAUUUUAAACUAUGAGAGUUUAGAUUUGAGUCAUCUUAACUUUUAAGUAGGAGAUAUAUAUACAUAUAUAGCAUACAAGCUGUAAGCAAGGCUUCUGUUUUGGUGCUAUUUUCCCCUCAAAUCGCAGAUUUGGUUCUCUGUUGCUGAAAAUCAUUAUAGCCUUAAUGAAAAGUCAGAAGUCAGAUUAAUUGCUUCCAAAAUUUGAAAAGAAACCUGAACUAGAAAGCUGAACAGUCUUCUAUUUUCUUCUUCUCUGUUUGACCACUUUGAUAUUCAGAGCCCUUGGGCCACCAGACCAUGUUACAUCCCUCUUUCACCCCUACUUCUCCACGGUGCUUCCUGCAUGGAGCUGGUUUUAGAAUUUACCCAAUCUCUAAUUUGUCCUGUCAGAGCACUCAGCAGCAUCUAAUCUUUCAUUAGAGGCAGAAACUUUGUUAGCACUGCUCAAAGUGCAUCUUUAACCCAAGACCUUUAUUGGAAAACUCCACUAGUCAGAGCAAGAGCUGGAGAAGACAGCCCAUGGGUGCCUGCUGGCAGCCCCAGAGUCACAUGUGGGGAAAAGUUAUUUUUCUUCCUUUUUUCCUUUUAAUUCAACACUUGACUUAAACAUCCAUCUAGCCAAGCUAUGCAGAGAGUGACCUGCUGAACAGAAGACUGUAAGGUAGGAUUAGAGGCUCCACUUAAGAGAAAAUCUGCUUCAACCUAGAGAACAAUCCCACCACAAAUAAAAUUAACUUUAAAAGUAAUGAGAUUUUCCACUGUUAACUUAAUAGCAGCAAACCACAUGCUCUAAACAAUGUUCUAAUUUAUUUUUUUUUUUAAAUAAGGACUCAUUUUUAGUAACAAACCCCAGACUAUUAGACCUGCCAUUUUUCCACUGCUGGAAGAAAACCUGGACUCUUACUGAGCUGUAUGGUGAAUAUCUCAGAGAUAUUUGAAUCUACUACUAAUAAAAAGGCCUCUAAAAUGCUAGCAUGGAGGAACGCAUUUAAGUAGCAAUAUCCAUGUGUAUGGAUCUGAUUACUGGAGCACUGAAAGACAAGAUGGCUGUAGGCGGCACAUCUCUAGAAAUGAGCCUCUUUCCAUAUGGCUUGAUUGUUAUUCAUACUUCCUGGCAGUGGUUAGAAGAGGAGGAUGACUGAGAAUUUAGUAGAUGCCUGGUGGGGCUGACAGUGGUCGUUUGAGGUCAGGGAGUCAGUAGAGAGUGAUUAGGUGGCUGCUGACUCAACAGGGUGAAGCCGAGAGGUCCUCAGCAAAACCACAUCUGUAGCCCCAUACCCUGAAAAUGAGCAUGCCCUUAAUGUCCGCAAGGAAUCCUUCGAACAUCAGGACUACUGAAACUUAGUGGAUUUGUCUAACAGCAUUGACCCACAGGCCUCAUUGGAAAAAGCAGAUCUCUCUUUUGGCUUCUUAGUUGGCUUCUUCAAGGGAUACAGACGUCACCAAAGUAGACCUGUGUCUCCUUUGCCAAGCCCUGAAGGCCUGCUGAGAAGCACGAGUACUGGUGCUUGUUGUUUACUGUUAUCUAAAUGGAGCAACUCCAAUAUCACAAAGCUGUGCAUGGGUGUCAGGCUCCCUGAGACACAAGGUGUCUGUGCUGCCACUGGGUAUGAGCUCUGAGAUAUCUUCACUGCACCAGGAAAUACCAAGAGGGUUUUGAGACAGCAGAAAAGCAUCUGCAGAGGCUCUUCUGUGAGCUCUGUUUUCUCUUUUGCCUGCCUCUCCUCUCUGUUGGGUUGGAGGGAGCAAGUGGGAUAGAAAUCCU